UAGGCAUUCAUUUUUAAUGGUUAGGGUUAGGGUAAGGGGCUAGGGAAACCAUUAUGUCAAUGGGAUGUCCCCACCAGGAUAGCAAACCAGACAUGUGUGUGUGUGUGUGUGUGUGUGUGUGCGUCCGUAAAAAAGAUUUGUGUGUGGACUUAGCCAAAAACCCCAUGCAAGUUACAAGUACGAAUUUUGACCCUAUUUUUCUUCCUUUUAGCUGAUUGGUUAAUGUCAUGUCAAUCACAAAUUAAACAGUCCAAUCAGAGAACAGAUGGGUUUGGCUAUCUAUCUAGAUAGAUAGAUCAGUCUAUAUAUAUUUAAACACUGAUCUUUUUUUUUUCUUUUGCACCACUUUGGGUAAAGUGAAGUGGAUGACCUGCAUCACACAGCACAUGAAGUCAGAGACACACUUCCCAAUUUUGCUGCUGAGAUGAACACUGACAUCCCAGCCAACAAUAAGGAAGGUACUUUUCAUACCAAAUGUCAGAGUUAUUUUUGCAUACAAUGUACUUUAUCUUUUAGUAGAACAGUGGGGAAAGGCUAGUGAUCCGCAAGAUGCUGCAGUUUUGUUUAAAAGGCAUCUCUUAAAGGAAAAGGAGGAGAACCCCAUAAUCACAGCUAUCAUUGGCAUUCGACAAGAUCAAACAUCCCAGAGCCGAGAGAUCAUUGCUUUCUACAAAAGACCACAGAUUGAUUGGGCAGGACCUUUUCAUUGUUCUUUACAAGGUGACAUAGCUGUUGGCACUGGGGUCCAGAGCAAGGUGGCAGUACGUUAGUCGAGUCGUCUGUGUUGCUGCUCCGUCCACGCGCAGAAUCAUGUCAGGAAAAGUCUGGAAAAAGCGCCAGAGUCCAAUUUGGGAUUACUUUGAAUAUGUUUUGAAUAAAGCAAGUGUCUUGUAGAGGAACGAGACAAAUUAUGAGGGACAUUUCUAAAGGGAAAAAAAUCCCACAAACCUUAAAGUGCACUUGAAAAGCUCACACAAGAAGGCUAAGCUAGCUUACCUUGAGAAGGUAAGGGAGCACGCCCAACCCUCAUCCCCAGAAACAGAAGCUAACCCCAGGCAAGGCAGCGUGAUGCAUCCCGAGACAACAGGACUGGGAUAUCUACAUAACUGUGUGCAGCCAACAUGACCCUUCUCUUUGAGGGACAACAGAACCAUCUAGUGCCUUCUACUUCUCAGAUUUUGGCAGACAGUGACUUUGUGGUAGCAGGCAGAAUGAUUGGGCAUUCAUUUUUGAACGAUGGGCCACGAUUGCAUGGCCUCAGCAAGGCUAUUAUUCACAUGUUGGUCCAUGCUGAUAGAGACACUGUCACUGUCCAGCUCGAUGAUGUGCCAGAUCUAGAUAUUCGUUCUACAAUUUACAGGCUUGACGGUAACAAACACCUCACUGAGCAGCAGAAGGAUGACAUUAACAAUUUGGCCAUUUCCUGGGACUUGCCACCCGUCAGUGCAGAAAACUGCAGAUGGCUGUUCCAACAGCUUCUCCAUCAUGCAGUGAUAGGCUGAACUAAAAGGCAGACAAAACACAUCAGAAAAGGUCUGAAGGACACCGGAUUGUUGACUAUGCUUCAACAAAGACCUGACACAGCCUCAGUGGUCUUUCCCCAGCAUGAAGACAGCAUUCUUACUGCACAGGCUGUUCUUAGCCACAUUGUUUGGCCAGGAGAUGAGGGCGAUGAUGAAGACGAUGAUGAUCCACCUUACCCACUAAGCAUCCAAAUGCAAACAGUGGGAUUUCUGAAGACCUACAUUGAAACAGCCACUCCAUUCCAGCUCAGCCAGCUGAUGAGGUUUUGGGUCGGGUGGGAAAUUCCGACUGGUACCAUGAAGGUUGAAGUGGUCAAAGCAGACUACCUCAUAUCCUGUACAUGUUUUGGAAUGUUGCGUGUCCCUGGGCACUUCCACGAGUACAAUGUCUUUUCCAAACAUGUUGAUGAUUGCAUUGCAACUUGUGCCACAGGUUUCGGCCUUAUUUAAAAGCAAUUUGUAGACACUGGAUGUCGAAUAAACUUUACCAUGCUUGAAAAAUGUUUUACAUAGCCAAAAGUUUCACUGUUUACGUAGGCUUAUUGAUUUUUUGGGAAUAUUGUUAUGCGAGUUUAAAUAUAAAAAUUAAAGUUACAGUUCCCACCAUUAACAUUUAUAUUUGAAGUUAAGGAACUAAUGAUUGUGUUAUUUAGGGUUGUUUUGUUAACUUGAAGUCAUUGUCAUGCAUCCGAUUCACAUCAUCUCUUUGUUUGAAGCAGUUUCAUGGAUUACAAGAGGUGUAAAAAAGUAGAUUAAUACUAAAGCUGUAUUAAAUGUUACACACAGUCCAAUGCUGUUGAAUAUAAUGUUAAUAAAAAUCUGCCACACUGUCAGCUGUGGUCAAGCUAUUUAAUUACCGCAUGCAGGACAGCUAACACACAUCAAAACAUUACAGUUCUAC
ensembl:lncRNA